rnacentral:rRNA from 1 species
GAUGAACGCUAGCGGCAGGCCUAAUACAUGCAAGUCAAGGGGCCAGCAAUGGCACCGGCGCACGGGUGCGCAACACGUACACAACAUACCUUUAAGUGGGAGAUAGCAUCGGGAAACUGGUGGUAAUACCCCAUAAUAUUGCGAUGCGGCAUCACAUUGCAAUUAAAGUUUCGACGCUUAAAGAUUGGUGUGCGUCCGAUUAGCUAGUUGGCGGGGUAACGCCCACCAAGGCUACGAUCGGUAGGGGGGUGUGAGAGCAUGACCCCCCCACAUGGGUACUGAGACACGGACCCAACUCCUACGGGAGGCAGCAGUAAGGAAUAUUGGACAAUGGACGAAAGUCUGAUCCAGCCAUGCCGCGUGCAGGAUGAAGGCGCUCAGCGUUGUAAACUGCUUUUGGAUGGGAAUAAUAACCUCGACGUGUCGGGGCUUGAAGGUACCAUCAGAAUAAGCACCGGCUAACUCCGUGCCAGCAGCCGCGGUAAAGUCUGU